rnacentral:rRNA from 1 species
UACGGAGGGUGCAAACGUUGCUCGGAAUCAUUGGGCGUAAAGCGCACGUAGGCGGCCUGAUAAGUCGGGUGUGAAAGCCCUGGGCUCAACCCAGGAAGUGCACUCGAAACUGUCAGGCUUGAAUAUGGAAGAGGGUCGCGGAAUUCCCGGUGUAGAGGUGAAAUUCGUAGAUAUCGGGAGGAACACCAGUGGCGAAGGCGGCGACCUGGACGAGCACUGACGCUGAGAAGCGAAAGCGUGGGGAGCAAACAGG